AGUGAACGCUGGCGGUAGGCCUAACACAUGCAAGUCGAACGGCAGCACAGUAAGAGCUUGCUCUUACGGGUGGCGAGUGGCGGACGGGUGAGGAAUACAUCGGAAUCUACUUUUUCGUGGGGGAUAACGGAGGGAAACUUACGCUAAUACCGCAUAUGACCUACGGGUGAAAGCAGGGGAUCUUCGGACCUUGCCCGAUUGAAUGAGCCGGUGUCGGAUUAGCUAGUUGGCGUGGUAACGGCCCACCAAGGCGACGAUGCGUAGCGGGUCUGAGAGGAUGAUCAGCCACACUGGAACUGAGACACGGUCCAGACUCCUACGGGAGGCAGCAGUAGGGAAUCUUGGGCAAUGGGCGCAAGCCUGAUCCAGCCAUACCGCGUGAGUGAAGAAGGCCUUCGGGUUGUAAAGCCCUUUUGUUGGGAAAGAAAAGCAGCAGGUUAAUCCCCCGCUGUUCUGACGGUACCCAAAGAAUAAGCACCGGCUAACUUCGUG
rnacentral:rRNA from 1 species